GCUGAUCUCCAACUCCUGGCCUCAGGUGAUCCUCCCACCUUGACUUCCCAGAGUACUGAAAUUAUAGGUGCAAGCCAGCACACCUGACCCUGGACUCUUACUUAGUACCAGCCAGUGCUCUAAGAGAUUUACUUGGAUUAACUCAUUUAAUCCUCAAAAUAAAACCAUGAGGUAGGUACUUUCAUUAUGUCCUAUUUUAUAGAUGAGGACAUUGAGACACAGAGGGGUUAAGUCCCUGUUCUAUUGGGAAUUCAGACACCUGUUCCAGAUGGUGCCCAAGAAUCUGUAAUGGAGUCAGGCAAAGACAUAAAGAGAAAGUCCACUCAUUCGUUCAUUCAUUCAUUCAUUCAACAGGUAUUGACUCAACUGGCUUUGUAUGCUGGGCACCACUUUGCAAACAGCUUACAGGAUGGACUGCAGUCCUCACAACGAUCUUCAAAGCACGCUCGGAGUUGUGGCCCUACGGGGACCCGGUGAAUUCAGCUGCCUGUAUGAGGUGAUGUUGUUUUGCCUUAAAUGGUCCCCUAGCCUCUCCCAAAGACCCCUCCUUACUCUUCCCAAGAAUGUCCCAAUUCCUUUCCCACUUGUGCCACUCAUUUUCAAGAGAGGAGAUGGCCCAGCCCUCUUCUCUUCCCCACCUCCCUCCCCCAAACUGUGUGACCCUCAGCACCCAGGGCUCAGGGGGCUGCCAGAGAUGGAGAGGAGGCAAACCCAAGCCAGCUCCUGGGGUCCUACAGGGAGGGAGGGCAUGUAAAUCUUGCCUCACCCUCUUCCCUCCCAGCCCUGCUGUCAGCUGGCCAGCCCCAUCCCUGGAGCCAAACUGCUUCCAUGCAGGAGGGAGGGAAGCCUGCUCAGUGGGAAAAGAUGAAGCUGGUCCCCCCGCGUGUCAGUGAACAAAUUGGGCCAAUUUGGUGUGAUUAGUGAAGAAUUCACAUCUGGCCAGCAGAGUCCUCCCCCCAGCCCCAGCCCAGCCUGGCUCCUGCUCCCCAUUAGAAGCUAUUUUCUCUGACGGCUCCAUUUGUCUCUGUAGUGGGGGAUUUGACAGCUCCCUGGCCAGCCUGGGAGGCCUGGCUCUGAGUGAGAGGCCCAAGGCCAGGCUGUGUGCCCACACCCUUGACCUGAUGCCACGGGGGAUGCCAUGCUCCAAACAGGGCCCAGGCACCUGUAUGGGCCCUGUAGGUCCCAUCCCUCUUCUGUGUGCACAGAUCCAUAGUUGAAUGGGGGCCUGGGGAGCACAGUUCACUAGGCUCCCUGACCUGGGCCCCCCUUGGGCCUUGGUCAUCUUGCACAAUGAUUAUUGUGUUUUAAGAUCAACAGAGACUUGUAUGUGUGUGCAUGGUGGUAGAGGAAGCAGGGGUCUGGUGUUUCCUAAAAGAAAACAGCUGGGCAUGUAAUAGGCGGGCCUGCACCCCACUUCCUUCACCCCUUCCUCACCCCUCCCAGAGACCUGUUGCUGCAGCUACCCCUCAGGAAUGCCUGUAGAUGGCUGUCGCACAGCUGGAAGGCUCGCCCCGAGAAGCGGCUUCAAGGUCCCAGGAGAGAUCAAAGGCCAGGGCUGGUGAGUUCAGGGAAGAGGAAUUGAGGAUGGCCGGUCCCACCACUAUGUAAUGAGAAGGCUGAAAUUUAUGUGGAGACCUGGAGCAUGGGUAGGACUCUGGGGACACAGCCGAAUUUCCAGGGUGCUUGGCCUAGGCCUGCCGGUGCCUACCCCGUCUUAUCACUCCUCCAGGGAGCCCUGGGCAUCACUCCAUUCCGGAGUCCUGACCCCAACCACAGUCUGCUCCUCCUGUGUCCCCCGGCAGCGUCCUCGCUCCUUGCAGAGUUUGCCUGAUCCACCUCCUAGCACGGGGCUCCCU
rnacentral:lncRNA from 1 species